rnacentral:rRNA from 1 species
UACAGAGGGUGCGAGCGUUAAUCGGAGUUACUGGGCGUAAAGGGCGCGUAGGCGGUUGAUUGAGUGAGUUGUGAAAUCCCUGGGCUUAACCUAGGAAUUGCAACUUAUACUGGUUGACUAGAGUGCAGUAGAGGAUAGUGGAAUUUCCGGUGUAGCGGUGAAAUGCGUAGAUAUCGGAAGGAACACCAGUGGCGAAGGCGACUAUCUGGACUGAGACUGACGCUGAGGCGCGAGAGCGUGGGGAGCAAACAGGAUUAGAUACCCUGGUAGUCCACGCUGUAAACGAUGAAUACUAGAUGUUGGGAGGCUUAGUCCUUUCAGUAUCGAAGCUAACGCGAUAAGUCUUCCGCCUGGGGAGUACGACCGCAAGGUUAAA